UGGAGUAGGAGCAACAGGGAUUGCCCUAGUAACGGCGAGUGAAGCGGCAACAGCUCAAAUUUGAAAUCUGGCUCCUUUGGGGUCCGAGUUGUAAUUUGUAGAGGGUGCUUUGGCGUCGGCCAUGGUCUAAGUUCCUUGGAACAGGACGUCACAGAGGGUGAGAAUCCCGUACGUGGCCGUUGGCCUUCGCCAUGUAAAGCCCCUUCGACGAGUCGAGUUGUUUGGGAAUGCAGCUCUAAAUGGGAGGUAAAUUUCUUCUAAAGCUAAAUAUUGGCCAGAGACCGAUAGCGCACAAGUAGAGUGAUCGAAAGAUGAAAAGCACUUUGGAAAGAGAGUCAAAAAGCACGUGAAAUUGUUGAAAGGGAAGCGCUUGCAGCCAGACUUGCCCGUAGUUGCUCAUCCAGGUUUCGACCUGGUGCACUCUUCUGCGGGCAGGCCAGCAUCAGUCCAGGCGGUCGGAUAAAGGUCUUGGGAAUGUGGCUCUCUUCGGGGAGUGUUAUAGCCCAGGGCGUAAUGCGGCCAGCUUGGACUGAGGUCCGCGCAUCUGCUAGGAUGCUGGCGUAAUGGCUGUAAGCGGCCCGUCUGGAAAACACGGAAUACGCAUACUGGUUUAAACGGCUUGUAAGACAUCCCGGUAGUAAAAAAAAAAA
rnacentral:rRNA from 1 species